rnacentral:lncRNA from 1 species
AUAUCACUAGCAUAAUUAAUAUAAGUGACAUGACUUAUUAACAUAGAGACCAUUUAUUGUCUCGCAAGAUUAUUUGUGCUUGUUGUGGUAAAAAAAAUUUAAAAUGUUCUCUGCUGGAACCUGGAACCUGGAACUCAGUUCCUAAAUCUGGUUCAAAUGUAUGCAAACAGCAACUACAAUCCAGAUCUACUUUGCAAGGUUUACUUAUACUCUGCCAAAAAAGGAGAGUCAUUAUCUAUUGUAACUUUAGAAAAUUGGUUGCUCACAUCUGAGAGAAUUAGAUUACUUCCAAGAUUUAAAGGUGAUGCAGAGUCAACCUGUGAUUGUCCACUAUGUGUUAUGUCAAGAGAUAAAUCCAAAGAGGUACCCUGAAGGAUGUUUUAAGUGUUUAUUUAAAUGAACCUGAGAUAUCAAAUGAAGUUAUUUAAAAAAUUUGCUUUAAUUGUUAUCAAAGAAUCGGAGUGGGAAUUCGACAUUCCUGUAGUAAGAAAGAUACUGUGGAGAACUUAAGAAUGUUGUUAAUCUCAAAAGGUUUAAAAACAGUAGAACAAGUCCUCUCCAAAUCUUUAAAAUAAAAAAAAUACAGCAAGUUCAAAACAUUCAAAUGAGGGAAACUAUAAAAUUGUUGACAGGCGGAACUCUGUUGAGUCUACAGAUAGGAAAGAAGAAGACAAUGAAAACAAUAUUAAGUCAAACUUUCUAUAAUAUAAAAAGAAAGCACGAUCUAUCAGAUUCUACAAUAAAUUAAAUUGCAAUGGAUUGCAGAAAAGAUUUGGGUAGAUUGAGGGUGGAAGCUAACACUUCAAAGAAAAUAAAGAUAUGGUCGUGUAGUCUUGAUGAUUAUUACGCAAUAGAAAAAGUGGAGUUUACAGCUAAGAAAAAGGUUGGAAAUAAAAACAUCCUACAUACUGUAGGAUGUUUUUACUGUAAAGAUUUAGUGUAUGUGAAAGAUUCCAAAUCACUUGUUGAACAUAUUUGCACUGUUAGGGGACUAGCAAUAGAUAAAGUUACUAUUCGUGUUGGAAUAGAUGGUGGUCAAGGAUCCUUAAAAUUUGUAAUGAAUGUUUUUAAUAUAGAAACAGAUAUUGACUGUCGAGAAAACAAAAAUACUGGUGUUAAUAAAGUUCUGGUAUUGGCAUUUGUCAAAAGUGUUACUGAAAAUCAUGCGAACCUUCAGAUAAUUAUCGAGAAAAUAAUGUUCAACAGACUUAAGUUCUACUUAGUUCUAUCUUAAACUGCUAAAUAUAAUAUUAGGCUUAUCAGGACAUGGAGGUAAAUACUCUUGUUUAUAUUGCAAUGGUGAAAAGUCAAAUUUGGGAGAACUGAGAACUUUCAAAAAGUUAAAGUUGCUGUAUGGAAGUUUUGCUGAAAAUGGAUCUAAGAAAAGUUCUAUGCAGAUCUACAAAAAUGUAAUACAUCCAUGUCUGCUUGAUGUAGCUGAAGAUACACAUGUACUUGAUGUAGUUCCUCCACCAGAACUUCAUUUGCUGAUGAAGAUUGUUACAGAGAUUUCUAAUGUUUUAUAUAAAGAACCAGAAAUUGCUGUAUGGCUAAGUAACCAUGGGAUAAUUUGGCAUGGAUAUAAUGGAGGUGAGUUAGAUGGUAGAAAUGCUAACAAAAUUCGGAAGCUAUUGCCUGAUUUGGAACAACAUAUUUUUGACCAUUAUCCUUUUUAUCAUCCAGUUGUUGAACUGUUAAAAUCGUUUUCCAUAGGUAAUUUAUACAUAUACACACACCUCAUACACACAUAUAUAUAUUUAUUGUGUAUGAACUAUUUUUUCAAUUUAAAACAUGAUUUUAAAAAAUAUGAUUAAACUUCAACAUUAACCAUGAAAUUUUAGUUGUCGAUAAGUGCUUUGGUAUGAAACUUCAUGAGGGUUAUGCAGGUGCCAUUGCAAUGUAUAUUUAGAAGUUAUAGGUAAAUUAAAAUUUGAAAAUAAUUUUAGGAAAGUAAUUAUUGAAUAUGAUGUAGAAAUAAACAUGAAAACAAUUCUUAUUUAUAAAUAUUUAAUAUGUCAUAGGCAUAUUAGCUAUUUAUUUUUUACUUUUGAUUUAGGAAACUGAAAUUUAUGUUAAACUUAACUUUAACCACAAUCUCUCAAUGGGGUGGAAAGGUCAUAUUAUUGAACACCACCUUGUUAUUUUCUUAAACAAUAUUAGAAUGCCUCUAGGUGUAUUUGCUGAGCAAUGUUCCGAAUCUGUUCAUCACAACAUGCUAAAAAUUUUGAGUAGAUUCGCAACAUCUGAAUCCAGAUCAAAUCACGGAGAACUACUGAGAAGAGCGGUGUUAGAAUAUUCAAGCAAUAGUGUAGAUGAUUUGAUAUAAAUCAAUCAUUGGAUUUUCUUAUUAUAAUACGAUUACUUAUCUUUUAUGUAAUAUUGUAUAUGUCUUGUAAAUUAUACUUUUUGUAUUAUAUUUUGUAUAUUUGUUAUUUUAAUACUCCAUAAAUUCAUUUCUAAA